rnacentral:lncRNA from 1 species
AUCUGUGGAUGUCUGGGAAAUACCUUGAAGGAUAUCAGCGAGAACGCACAUGACUGAGAACAACCCUACUGGACUACCUGUGGAAACGCUUACUGCAAUACUGGUGAGAGUACAUGUGUAGGCACCUGAGGAAAGACACUUUCCUUGAGGUCAUCACUAUGGGUUUGAUCACAAAAGAAACAACGUGGCAGUGCUUCAAGCUCAGUCAUAGUAAUUUCAACUUAAAUGUUUUUCAAAGUACAUCUUACUAAUCUCCCAAGAAGGACUUAGAAAAGCCCAAGUUCUGCACCCGUAAGAUGCCUAACAUUAAGCCAAUAUAGCCUCCUGGUGAGUCCCCUGGCUGGCUUAGCAGGAAAAUGUAACCUAAAUGGCUAAAUGAGUUAAGGCAAUCGAAGGUUGUUGAACAAAUGCCAACUCGAUGUUGGAGAACAUCUGCCAAAAAUGACAAUCAGGGGGUUUAGAGCAACUCGUCGUGAGCCACAUUUCCUUUUAGACUAAUGAGGCUAUUUCUGGUUUGCAACAAUAAAGCCAUGUCAUCUGCAUAGAAAAGACCUCUGUUUCCUGCUCCCCACAGCAAAGUUAUUCAUUCAGCUCAUCCAAAAAUCUUUCAAGCCAUAAAACACCCAUUAAAGGGGGGUAGGGACCUGAGUGCUGGUGCUGAGGUUGAAACCACUAUCUGGUUCUUGGAGACUCUGCUCCUACCCACCCUGGGUGCAUAAGCACUCAUGGCCAGGUGGGGACUAACCCAGCUCCUGUAGCUUAGCCUAUAAUUAGUUUCUCUCUAUUGAGUCAAAGGCCAAAAUCAGUCAUGGCGUUGUGAUUCUUAUAUUGUUCCUGACAAAUUUUUGUACACGUGGUAUGAAUACAGAGGUCAGUGGUGUGGAAUAAAUGUGCCUGAAAUCCAGGAGCUCCUUAUACAAAAUAUCAGCCUGCAAAGUCCAGACUUACAAUUUUAAGCAGAGAAAAAUCGACAGGUACCUUACUUGGAAUGCCAAGUAACCCAAUGAAUCUAUCAUUUGUGGAGCAGCAGAGGGUGGAAGGUGGAAAAACAGUCCUUUACAAAUAAGAUUAUCUGCACGUGGGGUCCACCCACACAAGAUCACGCUAAGUGAACAACCACUAUACUCAACACUGGAAAUCUGGCUGAUGCAAGCCAAGACAUGCUCUAAGUGAAAACGACACACCAGAUUGCAAAUUUAGCACACAAACACAAGGUCAACACUCCACUCAAAAUUUCAUUUGGAAAGGAAGGCCAGCAAGAUGGCUCAGAGGGCAAAGGCAUUUCCUGCUUAUAGAUGCAAACCUUAUCGCCUAAGUUUGAUAUUUUAGCUCCCACUUAAAGGUGGAAUGAUAGAACCAACUCCACAAACUUGUCCUCUGCCCUUCAUACAUGUGCAUAACACACAUGGGUACAUGCACACAUAUUCACACAGUUAUUACUAAUAAAUAAUUUUAAUGUAAAAUUAUAUUGAAUACACACUGAAAUAGUAAUAUUUGGAUCUUUUAUGUAAAUAGAAUAUAGUAGUCAAUGCCUUACUUGAUGUCUAUAUUGCUAUAACAGAAUUUCUAAGACUGAGUACGUAUAAGAGAUUUUGUGCUCAAUGGUUUAGAGACCCCCAUCUUGUUGGCCUCAACUGAGGGCCAUCAGACUGCAUCACAAAUGAAUUUAUGGUGUCACGUGAUGAGAUAGAGAGAGAGGAAAAGAGAGAGAGUAAGUAUCACAUGAAAAGGGAGAAAGCAGGAAUGCAAAACAAGAGAACCAAGCUCAUUUUGGAGCCAUCUGCUUUCAGGGUAUCUGAUCCAGCCCUGAGAAGCAAGUGUUAGUCCCUUCUAAGGAUAGUGACUUUGGUAACCUAACCCCACAAAACGAUCCCUCUUACAGGUUCCAUUGUAUUCACAACCAAAUCUUCAGUACAUGAGACUUUGGGAGACAAAACAGCUCCAAACCACAGAAUCCAAACUGUUAUCAACUUUUUUGGAUUUUUACUUUUGUUUAAGGACUAGAGAUUUGGAAAUUGCUUGCAUGCACAUUUUAGCAUGCAUAGCCUCAAAAGAAUAAAAUAAAAUAGCCAAGAAUAGACUUAACCAAGGAUGUGAAAGACUUCUACAAUGAAAACCAAGAAAGAAAUAGAAAAAUACACUAUAAUAUAGAAAGAAUGCCCAAGCAUAUGGCUAAAUAUAAUAUUACGGCAUGGCU